rnacentral:rRNA from 1 species
AUUCCAGCUCCAAUAGCGUAUAUUAAAGUUGUUGCAGUUAAAAAGCUCGUAGUUGAAUUUCUGGUAGGAGUGACCUGGCCCUUGGACGAAUGUCCUCGGUUUGCUCAGUGUUGUCUCUGGCCAUCCUUCACACUUUUAGUGUGAUCUUUCACUGUAAAAAAAUUAGGGUGUUUCAAGCAAAAGUUUCUUUGGAAUAUAUUAGUAUGGGAUGAUAAGAUAGGCUCUCGAUGCUAUUUUGUUGGUUUGCACAUCAAGAGAAUGAUUAACAGGGACAGUUGGGGGUAUUCGUAUUUACAUGUCAGAGGUGAAAUUCUUGGAUUUUGGAAAGACGAACUACUGCGAAAGCAUUUACCAAGGAUGUUUUCAUUG